GGAGGGGGAGAGGAGCACAGCUGGGAAGGGAGGAAAUACAGACGGGUUCCCAAAGCGCCCACUGUCCUCAGGCACUUGCUCAUUCCUUGGGCCUGCAAGACCCACUGUACAGCUGAGGAAACUGAGCCCCCUUCAUUCGCUCCACAGACCCAUCCUUCAGUCUCCAGGCCUGGGGCUGGGGGCAGGGUGACUCCGGGUUUUCAGAGCUGGUGGGAAGGGCGAACCCAACAGGAAGGGGAACAGAAUGAACCAGAACACCUGAGCGCCACCACACCACAGUCAGCCGCUGACGUGGCCGCUGGCCUCACCCCGAGUGACCCUCACACCAGCAACGGCGCUCUGUCCCCUCUUCUGGAGGCUCAGGGACAGUAAGGACCACAGCCGGCGCUUACUUGGCGCCUACUGUGUGCCAGGCCCUCAUGGGAGCCUCACACAGAUAGAUAGCUCAUUUAUUCCCACCAGGCCUCCAAGGCAGGGACUCUUAUCACCCCCACCUUACAGAGAGGUUAAGUGACCUGCCCAGGGACACACAGAGGUCGGCAAGGUCACACUGUGACGUCACACACAGGGUCCUGAAGGCCAAGCUCAGGAUGAAGGCCCCUUUGGAGGGAGGGCGUGGGGGAGGCCCUGAGGUCUCCCGGCCCCGGCGUGCUUCAUUUCUCUCUUGGAGGCAGAGAUGCGGAUUCCUGAUCUCCUGGUGCAAAAGCUGAAAACAAACCACAGCAGCAAGUAGCCAGGCAGCCCCACUGCGGAGAGUGACUAAGCGUGGAUGCCGGGCUGAACUUUGACCCAGCCCUGGCUGACCUGGGGGCCGAAACCAGCCUGGAUAGUUGUUGAGCACCUACUAUGUGCCAGGCGACCGGGACCCACUGGUGAAGGGAACAGGCAAAGAUGCCCGUCCUCGCAGAGCUGAAGUUCAAGAGAGGAUGCCGGUCAUCCACGCGGGCAUCCUGCAAACACGGCAGCUGGGGGAGCGGCCACACACCUGCUGCAGGUGGCUGGACCCCCAGGGGUUGGGAGAGUCCCCCGGGGAAGCACCGCCACUACUCGCUGGGCCGGGAGAGCCGUGGGAGUGAGAGGCACGCACGCUAAACAAGAGGAAGCCCUGGGGUGCGGACCUGCCCUCCCAGGCCGGAAGGGUCCCUGAGGAAGUGACGCCCUGAACACGGAGCCGGAUCCCCAUGAGGAAGACUAUUCCCUUCCCAGCAGAGGCAGCAGCCCAGCAAAGAUCCUGGGGAUGGGUCAGGCCUCCGGGGACCCCCUCAAGUCCUGGAAGAUGACCUUCUCUGUGGGCUGGGGGAGACAGACGAGAGGGUAGACGGAACAGCCCUCCAGCUCUGGACGUGGAGGCAGGACCCUGAGUGCUUAGAAGGGAAUGAUAGGCCACCUCAUUCACAAUGGAAGGAAACUGAGGCACAGCCACAAAAUAAUAAAGUCUUGGGCAUGCUGAGUGCCUAUAGUAAGCCAGGCGCUGUGCUGAGCCCUUUGACCCACGUUCUUCCAUUUAAUCCUUCCAACAACCGUCACCGUGGGAAGCUGAUACCGGGACCCCUACUUUACAAGUGGGGAAAGGAAGACUCAGGAAGGUAGGCCAAGGCCAUGCCCCCUGUGAAUGGGGGACCUGAGCUGGGCACACAGAUCUGGCUCCAGAACCCAGAACCGAAACCCUGGGCCGUCCUGGGCGGAGGUGAAGGGAAGAGAGGAGGGAAGCCUGGGAGAGACGGAAGAUAAACCCUUGUCUGGCGGCCACGGGCAGCGGAAUAAAUAAUUGCAAGAGUGAGGCACCCGGGGUCAGUUCCAUGUCCAUUCUACCCUGGAUGGCCCAGGGCAGUUUGGAGAAGCCCCAGUUUCAGCCCACCCCAGCAACCUAGAGUUUUCUCUGCUCAUUCACGCAAUCAUUCAGUCAACAGAAAGCGAAGUUCAGGAUGACACAAACAUAGCCCUGUAAACAAUAAAUGUAAACGGGUCGAAUGGGCCUAUUAAAACACAAAGACUCUUGUAUGAGAUCAAAAAUCGAAAUCCA
ensembl:lncRNA